UUCUAGAGGUAUAAAGAAAAUAUGGCCAGGCGUGGUGGCUCACAUCUGUAAUCCCAGCACUUUAAGGGGCCAAGACCAGCAGAUGGCAUGAGCUUAGGAGUUUGACACGAUCCUGGGCACAUAGUGAGACCAGCCUAGGCAACAUAGUGAGACCCCCGUCCCUACAAAAAAUACAAAAAUUAGCCAGGUUUGGUGGCCUGCCUGUAGUCCCAGCUAGUUGGGAGACUGAGGUGGGAGGAUCUCUUGAGCUGUGGAAGCGGAGGUGGCAGUGAGCGCCUUUGCACUCCAGCCUGGGUGGCAGAACGAGACCCUGUCUAUAUGCAAGAAUUUGUAUAUAUAUUACCUCAUGUUUACAAAACAAAAUUCUCUCCCCUUCCUCUCCCCCAAAUCCCAUAUAUGUAUAUUAUUAGACUUUGGUAUCUAAUGUGCUCCUGGGGCUCUUUACAUGUUAAUCGUUCAAUACUCAAGAGUAACUGUGCUAUACACACCACUAUUAUUCUUUUACAGGUAAGUAAUAUGGGGCAUAAAGAACGUAAGUAACGACCCACAGCACAAAGAUAUCAAGAUAUACAAGUUAAGCUCAGAAACCAAGCUCUUAAACACUACACUGUCUCUCUGUAUUCGCUUAUAAAUGUGUACGUCUAUUUACCGUACAGGGAGAAAAAUAUGCAAGAAUGCAUACCGGGGAACUGACGUAGGCUGGGGCAAAGAGAAGGUGCUGAUAUGGAUGGCUGGCGGUGCAGAGGAGGAGAUCAACCCAGGCAAAAAAGAAAGAAAGAAAAAAAGAUCAGGUUCUCCAGGCUGGGCAGCCAUUCCUAGAUUAACCAGGAAUGUUUCCUGAGGUUUCAGAUCUAGUUCCCACAGAAGUUUCCUCUCAAGUACAAUGGUCCCUAAUUGUCUCCAAGGCACAUCCCAAGCAGAUGGACUGGAAGUGCCCUGGGAGGAGGUGAUAUCUCUGGGAGCUACACAGCAGUCACCAUGUUAUCACCUCCAACACAUAGAGACCCUGCUCAAGGAUGACCCUUUGGAACCCUAUUCUCCACAAGAAAGAGACAGUGAAACUAGGCCUGAGACUGGUAAUUUGGCUCCAAAGCAGGAAGCAUCCAAAGGAAUGGAAUCACAGAAGACGCUGUUCAGUAGAAUCUGCAGAGGCAGGAACAUUUUUCAGGAUACUCAUUUUGGAGACCUUCAUGAAUGCAAGGACAGGUUUGAAAAGCAUCAAGGAAGUUUAAAGGAAGGAAAAGAACACACAUGUGAUCAGUGUGGGAAGUUUCAUGCACAACAUCAGUCUUAUUGGACACCAGAGAAUCUAUACAUGGGAAAAACCCUCUAUGUAUAA
rnacentral:lncRNA from 1 species